rnacentral:rRNA from 1 species
UCCUGGCUCAGGAUGAACGCUAGCUACAGGCUUAACACAUGCAAGUCGAGGGGCAGCAUUGGGAUAGCUGCUAUUCAGAUGGCGACCGGCGCACGGGUGAGUAACGCGUAUCCAACCUUCCUGCCAGUAGGGAACAGCCCGGCGAAAGUCGGAUUAAUGCCCUAUGUUCUUCAAUGCGGACAUCUAAGUUGAAGGAAAGAUUCAUCGCUGGCAGAUGGGGAUGCGUCCGAUUAGCUUGCCGGCGGGGUAACGGCCCACCGGGGCGACGAUCGGUAGGGGUUCUGAGAGGAAGGUCCCCCACACUGGUACUGAGACACGGACCAGACUCCUACGGGAGGCAGCAGUGAGGAAUAUUGGUCAAUGGGCGUAAGCCUGAACCAGCCAAGUAGCGUGCAGGAAUGACGGCCCUACGGGUUGUAAACUGCUUUUAUGCGGGGAUAAAGUGCGGCACGUGUGCCGCUUUGCAGGUACCGCAUGAAUAAGGACCGGCUAAUUCCGUGCCAGCCGCAGC